rnacentral:rRNA from 1 species
GACGAACGCUGGCGGCGUGCUUAACACAUGCAAGUCGAACGGAAAGGCCCUGCUUUUGUGGGGUGCUCGAGUGGCGAACGGGUGAGUAACACGUGAGUAACCUGCCCUUGACUUUGUGAUAACUUCAGGAAACUGGGGCUAAUACCGGAUAGGAGCUCCUGCUGCAUGGUGGGGGUUGGAAAGUUUCGGCGGUUGGGGAUGGACUCGCGGCUUAUCAGCUUGUUUGUGGGGUAGUGGCUUACCAAGGCCUUGACGGGUAGCCGGCCUGAGAGGGUGACCGGCCACAUUGGGACUGAGAUACGGCCCAGACUCCUACGGGAGGCAGCAGUGGGGAAUAUUGCACAAUGGGCGGAAGCCUGAUGCAGCAACGCCGCGUGCGGGAUGACGGCCUUCGGGUUGUAAACCGCUUUCGCAUGUGACGAAGCGUGAGUGACGGUAAUGGGUAAAGAAGCACCGGCUAACUACGUG